rnacentral:rRNA from 1 species
GCCCUUAGAGUUUGAUCCUGGCUCAGGACGAACGCUGGCGGCGUGCCUAACACAUGCAAGUCGAACGGAACUGUUUUGAAAGAUUUCUUCGGAAUGAAUUUGAUUUAGUUUAGUGGCGGACGGGUGAGUAACGCGUGAGUAACCUGCCUUCAAGAGGGGGAUAACAUUCUGAAAAGAAUGCUAAUACCGCAUGACAUAUCGGAAUCACAUGAUUUUGAUAUCAAAGAUUUUAUCGCUUGAAGAUGGACUCGCGUCCGAUUAGUUAGUUGGUGAGGUAACGGCUCACCAAGACCGCGAUCGGUAGCCGGACUGAGAGGUUGAACGGCCACAUUGGGACUGAGACACGGCCCAGACUCCUACGGGAGGCAGCAGUGGGGGAUAUUGCGCAAUGGGGGCAACCCUGACGCAGCAACGCCGCGUGAAGGAUGAAGGUUUUCGGAUUGUAAACUUCUUUUAUUAAGGACGAAAAAUGACGGUACUUAAUGAAUAAGCUCCGGCUAACUACGUGCCAGCAGCCGCGGUAAUACGUAGGGAGCAAGCGUUGUCCGGAUUUACUGGGUGUAAAGGGUGCGUAGGCGGCUUUGCAAGUCAGAUGUGAAAUCUAUGGGCUCAACCCAUAAACUGCAUUUGAAACUGUAGAGCUUGAGUGAAGUAGAGGCAGGCGGAAUUCCCCGUGUAGCGGUGAAAUGCGUAGAGAUGGGGAGGAACACCAGUGGCGAAGGCGGCCUGCUGGGCUUUAACUGACGCUGAGGCACGAAAGCGUGGGUAGCAAACAGGAUUAGAUACCCUGGUAGUCCACGCUGUAAACGAUGAUUACUAGGUGUGGGGGGUCUGACCCCUUCCGUGCCGGAGUUAACACAAUAAGUAAUCCACCUGGGGAGUACGGCCGCAAGGUUGAAACUCAAAGG